ensembl:lncRNA
AAGGAGAGAUCACACAUCAGCUGUGUCAGAGACAAAGAGAGAGCGCAAUCCUGUAAUAGUGGAGUGUGUGAAGGAGAGAUGCGGUACAAAUACGGUUCAAGAUCUCCAUUAAUUUGUGCUUGUAGUAAUUAAAUGUGUAUAUAUUUUGAAAGCAUUGAAUCGCUAUAGAAAUUGAUUACUGUCCGAGAUCGGCGAUUCACGAUUCAAAAAUCACGUUUCAAGAUCGAUGCAUAUGCAUCGUCAGGGUUUUUAAUCGAUGCAUCGAUAAACGAGUAACAGUGUUUGGAUUUGAAAUCAAAACUGUGUUUGAACACAGUUGUGUGGCCGCAGUGUGUGGUACAAUGUCAGCGCCAAAGAGCCAUUAAAAGUGUUGUGUUGGGAUGCAUUAACGAACAUAGGAGUCUCCAUCGACCACUGAGGACACAGUGGUUAACUUUCAUUUUCGAAGGAAAUGUCCCAGAAAAAAAACUGGAAAGUCCUAUACUUUGUGCUAACAUUUUACACCGGACUCUACUGCCUCACAAACGAGGGUCAGUUCAGGGCUGGAGUUGUGCUAAGAUUGCUUCUGAAAGAGGGAUUGAUACCAACGCUUUGUGUGCAAACGUCCUGACUCCAGACAGAACGUUCAUGUUCAGUGAAGCUCCUCCCACAACAAUAUUACAUUCAGCAAUUCACCAAUAAAUGCUGGAAUAUUCCCAUCAGUUUACAAGUGAAGACGAGCAUCAAAUCAUCAGGAAGAGCUGAAAUCUGCAAAGACUGAGUUUAUUAAAGAGGACAAAGAGAAGAUGAGAGAUCCAGACCCCUGCAGAAUCAAACUCACUGAAGAUACUGAGGAACUAACAGGUUGGUCUUUAUUCUUCAUUCUUCAUUAAUGAGGCUGACUGUUUAAGUUUUAAGCAGUUUUUGUUUGUCAUAAUAGGAAAAAUCUUUAGAGCUCUGCAAUAAUAUAGCUAAAGCAUCAAGUAGCCAAAUAUGGGACAUUUUCUAUGAACUACUUUUUUCAAUAAAAUGUAUGUUAUAUAUUUAUGUAGUUGAUCA